UUUUAUGGAGAGUUUGAUCCUGGCUCAGGAUGAACGCUGGCGGCGUGCCUAAUACAUGCAAGUCGAGCGAACGGACGAGAAGCUUGCUUCUCUGAUGUUAGCGGCGGACGGGUGAGUAACACGUGGAUAACCUACCUAUAAGACUGGGAUAACUUCGGGAAACCGGAGCUAAUACCGGAUAAUAUUUUGAACCGCAUGGUUCAAAAGUGAAAGACGGUCUUGCUGUCACUUAUAGAUGGAUCCGCGCUGCAUUAGCUAGUUGGUAAGGUAACGGCUUACCAAGGCAACGAUGCAUAGCCGACCUGAGAGGGUGAUCGGCCACACUGGAACUGAGACACGGUCCAGACUCCUACGGGAGGCAGCAGUAGGGAAUCUUCCGCAAUGGGCGAAAGCCUGACGGAGCAACGCCGCGUGAGUGAUGAAGGUCUUCGGAUCGUAAAACUCUGUUAUUAGGGAAGAACAUAUGUGUAAGUAACUGUGCACAUCUUGACGGUACCUAAUCAGAAAGCCACGGCUAACUACGUGCCAGCAGCCGCGGUAAUACGUAGGUGGCAAGCGUUAUCCGGAAUUAUUGGGCGUAAAGCGCGCGUAGGCGGUUUUUUAAGUCUGAUGUGAAAGCCCACGGCUCAACCGUGGAGGGUCAUUGGAAACUGGAAAACUUGAGUGCAGAAGAGGAAAGUGGAAUUCCAUGUGUAGCGGUGAAAUGCGCAGAGAUAUGGAGGAACACCAGUGGCGAAGGCGACUUUCUGGUCUGUAACUGACGCUGAUGUGCGAAAGCGUGGGGAUCAAACAGGAUUAGAUACCCUGGUAGUCCACGCCGUAAACGAUGAGUGCUAAGUGUUAGGGGGUUUCCGCCCCUUAGUGCUGCAGCUAACGCAUUAAGCACUCCGCCUGGGGAGUACGACCGCAAGGUUGAAACUCAAAGGAAUUGACGGGGACCCGCACAAGCGGUGGAGCAUGUGGUUUAAUUCGAAGCAACGCGAAGAACCUUACCAAAUCUUGACAUCCUUUGACAACUCUAGAGAUAGAGCCUUCCCCUUCGGGGGACAAAGUGACAGGUGGUGCAUGGUUGUCGUCAGCUCGUGUCGUGAGAUGUUGGGUUAAGUCCCGCAACGAGCGCAACCCUUAAGCUUAGUUGCCAUCAUUAAGUUGGGCACUCUAAGUUGACUGCCGGUGACAAACCGGAGGAAGGUGGGGAUGACGUCAAAUCAUCAUGCCCCUUAUGAUUUGGGCUACACACGUGCUACAAUGGACAAUACAAAGGGCAGCGAAACCG
rnacentral:rRNA from 1 species